CGGGAUGUAGCUCAGUUUGGUCUAGAGCGCGCGCCUGGGGGGCGUGAGGUCGCAGGUUCAAAUCCUGUUAUCCCGAC
rnacentral:tRNA from 2 species